AAAGAUUAAGCCAUGCAUGUAUAAGUAUAAACGCUUUCAGCGUGAAACCGCGAACGGCUCAUUACAACAGCUAUAAUUUACUUGAUCUUGACAACCUACUUGGAUAACUGUGGUAAUUCUAGAGCUAAUACAUGCACCAAAGCUUCGCCCAGCGAUGGAGGAGCGCAUUUAUUAGAUCAAAACCAAACGGCUUCGGCCGUCCAUUGUUGACUCAGAAUAACUAAGCUGAUCGUACGGUCUUGCACCGACGACGUGUCUUUCAAGUAUCUGCCUUAUCAACUUUCGAUGGUAGUGUAUCUGACUACCAUGGUGAUGACGGGUAACGGAGGAUCAGGGUUCGACUCCGGAGAAGGGGCCUGAGAAAUGGCCACUACGUCUAAGGAUGGCAGCAGGCGCGCAAAUUACCCACUCUCAGAAUUUGGAGGAGGUAGUGACGAGAAAUAACGAGGCUGUUCUCUACAGAGGCCAGCCAUCGGAAUGGGUGCAAUUUAAAUCACUCAACGAGUAUCUAUGAGAGGGCAAGUCUGGUGCCAGCAGCCGCGGUAAUUCCAGCUCUCAAAAUGCAUAGAAUUAUUGCUGCGGUUAAAAAGCUCGUAGUUGGAUCUGUGCUGGUGUGCCGGUCUCGCCUUCGGGCGUGUACUGGUUCUCGCACUGGCUUUCCUGCAGUUUUCGGCUGGCUCUCCCUCACGGGUCUGCCUGUUCGGUGCUGCAAGUUUACUUUGAACA
rnacentral:rRNA from 1 species